UACGUAGGGGGCAAGCGUUGUCCGGAAUUAUUGGGCGUAAAGAGCGUGUAGGCGGUCCGGUAAGUCAGCUGUGAAAGUCAAGGGCUCAACCCUUGAAAGCCGGUUGAUACUGUCGGGCUAGAGUCCGGAAGAGGCGAGUGGAAUUCCCGGUGUAGCGGUGAAAUGCGCAGAUAAUCGGGAGGAACACCAAUGGCGAAGGCAGCUCGCUGGGACGGUACUGACGCUGAGACGCGAAAGCGUGGGGAGCAAACA
rnacentral:rRNA from 1 species